ACUCCUACGGGAGGCAGCAGUGGGGAAUAUUGCACAAUGGGGAAACCGUAGCAUGCAGCCAUGCCGCGUGUGUGAAGAAGGCCUUCGGGUUGUAAAGCACUUUCAGCGAGGAGGAAAGGGUGUAAGUUAAUACCUUACAUCUGUGACGUUACUCGCAGAAGAAGCACCGGCUAACUCCGUGCCAGCAGCCGCGGUAAUACGGAGGGUGCGAGCGUUAAUCGGAAUUACUGGGCGUAAAGCGUGCGCAGGCGGUUUGUUAAGCGAGAUGUGAAAGCCCGGCU
rnacentral:rRNA from 1 species